rnacentral:rRNA from 1 species
CUAUGUGUUGUUGGGUAGGGGAGCGUUCUGUAAGCCUGUGAAGGUGGCCUGUGAGGGUUGCUGGAGGUAUCAGAAGUGCGAAUGCUGACAUAAGUAACGAUAAAGCGGGUGAAAAGCCCGCUCGCCGGAAGACCAAGGGUUCCUGUCCAACGUUAAUCGGGGCAGGGUGAGUCGACCCCUAAGGCGAGGCCGAAAGGCGUAGUCGAUGGGAAACAGGUUAAUAUUCCUGUACUUGGUGUUACUGCGAAGGGGGGACGGAGAAGGCUAUGUUGGCCGGGCGACGGUUGUCCCGGUUUAAGCGUGUAGGCUGGUUUUCCAGGCAAAUCCGGAAAACCAAGGCUGAGGCGUGAUGACGAGGCACUACGGUGCUGAAGCGACAAAUGCCCUGCUUCCAGGAAAAGCCUCUAAGCAUCAGGUAACAUCAAAUCGUACCCCAAACCGACACAGGUGGUCAGGUAGAGAAUACCAAGGCGCUUGAGAGAACUCGGGUGAAGGAACUAGGCAAAAUGGUGCCGUAACUUCGGGAGAAGGCACGCUGAUAUGUAGGUGAAGCGACUUGCUCGUGGAGCUGAAAUCAGUCGAAGAUACCAGCUGGCUGCAACUGUUUAUUAAAAACACAGCACUGUGCAAACACGAAAGUGGACGUAUACGGUGUGACGCCUGCCCGGUGCCGGAAGGUUAAUUGAUGGGGUUAGCGGUAACGCGAAGCUCUUGAUCGAAGCCCCGGUAAACGGCGGCCGUAACUAUAACGGUCCUAAGGUAGCGAAAUUCCUUGUCGGGUAAGUUCCGACCUGCACGAAUGGCGUAAUGAUGGCCAGGCUGUCUCCACCCGAGACUCAGUGAAAUUGAACUCGCUGUGAAGAUGCAGUGUACCCGCGGCAAGACGGAAAGACCCCGUGAACCUUUACUAUAGCUUGACACUGAACAUUGAGCCUUGAUGUGUAGGAUAGGUGGGAGGCUUUGAAGUGUGGACGCCAGUCUGCAUGGAGCCGACCUUGAAAUACCACCCUUUAAUGUUUGAUGUUCUAACGUUGGCCCGUAAUCCGGGUUGCGGACAGUGUCUGGUGGGUAGUUUGACUGGGGCGGUCUCCUCCUAAAGAGUAACGGAGGAGCACGAAGGUUGGCUAAUCCUGGUCGGACAUCAGGAGGUUAGUGCAAUGGCAUAAGCCAGCUUGACUGCGAGCGUGACGGCGCGAGCAGGUGCGAAAGCAGGUCAUAGUGAUCCGGUGGUUCUGAAUGGAAGGGCCAUCGCUCAACGGAUAAAAGGUACUCCGGGGAUAACAGGCUGAUACCGCCCAAGAGUUCAUAUCGACGGCGGUGUUUGGCACCUCGAUGUCGGCUCAUCACAUCCUGGGGCUGAAGUAGGUCCCAAGGGUAUGGCUGUUCGCCAUUUAAAGUGGUACGCGAGCUGGGUUUAGAACGUCGUGAGACAGUUCGGUCCCUAUCUGCCGUGGGCGCUGGAGAACUGAGGGGGGCUGCUCCUAGUACGAGAGGACCGGAGUGGACGCAUCACUGGUGUUCGGGUUGUCAUGCCAAUGGCACUGCCCGGUAGCUAAAUGCGGAAGAGAUAAGUGCUGAAAGCAUCUAAGCACGAAACUUGCCCCGAGAUGAGUUCUCCCUGACUCCUUGAGGGUCCUGAAGGAACGUUGAAGACGACGACGUUGAUAGGCCGGGUGUGUAAGCGCAGCGAUGCGUUGAGCUAACCGGUACUAAUGAACCGUGAGGCUUAACCUUACAACGCCGAAG